GGGCUGAUAGCUCAGUUGGUAGAGCGAUGGGCUUGUAACCCAGAGGUCGCCGGUUCGAAUCCGACUCAGUCGCA
rnacentral:tRNA from 1 species